rnacentral:misc_RNA from 1 species
CUACCACUCAAGCAUAGCUUGGUAUUGGGCAUCGUUGCUUUUUUAAACGUGCCUUAAAUGUAGACGGCGGCAAACACUAGUUCCGAGCGUAGCAGUAAAACAUUUCGCUUUAGAGAAUCUAGUAUAUUGUCAACCGCAUAGUUUUUACUACA